rnacentral:rRNA from 1 species
AAGCUCGUAGUUGAAUUUCGGGAUCAAUGGAUUGGUCAUGCCGAUGGUGUGUACUGGUCAUAUUGGUUCUCACCUUCUAAGGAACCAUAAUGUCAUUUAUUUGAUGUUGUGGGGAAUUAGGACUGUUACCUUGAAAAAAUUAGAGUGUUUAAAGCAGGCUACGCUUGAAUACAUUAGCAUGGAAUAAUGAAAUAGGACAUCGCAUUCUAUUUUGUUGGUUUCUAGGAUCGAUGUAAUGAUUAAUAGGGAUAGUUGGGGGCAUUAGUAUUCAAUUGUCAGAGGUGAAAUUCUUGGAUUUAUUGAAGACUAACUACUGCGAAAGCAUUUGCCAAGGAUGUUUUCAUUAAUCAAGAACGAAAGUUAGGGGAUCGAAGACGAUCAGAUACCGUCGUAGUCUUAACCAUAAACUAUGCCGACUAGGGAUCGGAUGAUGUUGAUUUUUUAAUGACUCAUUCGGCACCUUACGGGAAACCAAAGUGUUUGGGUUCCGGGGGGAGUACGGUCGCAAGGCCGAAACUUAAAGGAAUUGACGGAAGGGCACCACCAGGGGUGGAGCCUGCGGCUUAAUUUGACUCAACACGGGGAAA